AGAGUUUGAUCCUGGCUCAGACUGAACGUUAGCGGCGUCGAUUACGCAUGCAGGUCGAGCGCAUGGCAGCGCCUCACCGUGCGCUCUCUUCUAGAGGAGAGGAUGUCGUGAGGGUCUGGCGAAAGUGGCGAAAGGGGCAGUAAGGUGUGGGUAACGUACCCCGGGGACUGGGAUAGCCAUUCUAUCGAGUGGGUAAUGCCAGGCGAUGUAGCGAGAUCGCAUGACCAUGCUACGAAAUGAAUUUCGCCUCGGGAGCGGCUCACGUGGUAUUAGGCUAGUUGGUGGGGUAAUGGCCUAGCAAGGCAAAGAUGCCUAGCAGGUGUGAGAGCAUGACGUGCGCCACUGGCACUGAGACACUGGCCAGACUCCUACAGGAGGCUGCAGUCGAGGAUCUUCGGCAAUGGGCGCAAGCCUGACCGAGCGACGCCGCGUGUGCGAUGAAGGCCUUCGUGUUGUAAAGCUCUGUUGAGGUGGAGGAAGCCGCAAGUUUGACCUAUCCCUGGAGGAAGCACGGGCUAAGUUCGUGCCAGCAGCCGCGGUAAGACGAACCGUGCGAACGUUGUUGGGAUUCACUGGGCUUAAAGGGCGGGUAGGCGGGUUGCCAAUUCAGGGGUGAAUUCUUUGGGUUCAACCGGAAAACGGCCCCUGAUCCUGGUAUUCUUGAGGGAGAGGGGCAGGUGGACCUUCCGGUGGAGCGGUGAAAUGUGUUGAUAUCGGAAGGAACGCCGGUGGCGAAAGCGACCUGCUGGAUCUCUUCUGACGCUGAGGCGCGAAAGCUAGGGGAGCGAACGGGAUUAGAUACCCCGGUAGUCC
rnacentral:rRNA from 1 species